CCCACCUGCCGCCGCCGCUGCUCAGCCGGCCCACGGACGCGGCCACCUCCACCUCCUAGACCCAAGCCGCGCGGGAUCCACCCUCAGGUGUCCCCAGGCGCGCGAGGACCACGUGACGCGCAGAUAACCCUGAAGCUAAGGAAGCGGCUCCAAUGUUCAGAGAUCAGGGAGUUAAGAAAAAUCAGCAAAGGGACUGAAAAAGGGCAAAGGCAGGAAGAUAAGACAACCAGGGAAAUGGGAGUAAGGUCAUCGGCUGAGAAUAAGGAUGGAGACAGAGUUGGAGGUAA